UACGGAGGGUGCAAGCGUUAAUCGGAAUUACUGGGCGUAAAGCGUGCGCAGGCGGUUUGUUAAGUCCGUUGUGAAAGCCCCGAGCUCAACUUGGGAAUUGCAGUGGAUACUGGCAGGCUGGAGUACGGUAGAGGAAGGUGGAAUUCCCGGUGUAGCAGUGAAAUGCGUAGAUAUCGGGAGGAACGACCAGUCGGCGGAAGGGCGGAGCCUUCGU
rnacentral:rRNA from 1 species